UACGUAGGGGCCUAGCGUUGUCCGGAUUUAUUGGGCGUAAAGAGCUCGUAGGCGGCUCGGUAAGUCAGGUGUGAAAUCUCCACGCUCAACGUGGAGGCGCCACCUGAAACUGCCGUGACUCGAGUCCGGUAGGGGAGUGUGGAAUUCCCGGUGUAGCGGUGAAAUGCGCAGAUAUCGGGAGGAACACCAGUGGCGAAGGCGGCACUCUGGGCCUUACCUGACGCUGAGGCGCGAAAGCUAGGGGAGCGAACAGG
rnacentral:rRNA from 1 species